rnacentral:lncRNA from 1 species
UGAAGUUGUAUUCCAUCAUCACAUAGCAAGGUUUGAAAGUCAAAGAUGGGAAUUGUUGGUAAGGGAUUGGUUUCAUCAUUUGAUAGAAUGGAAGGUUCUUUAUUUGAUCGAAUAAAAUAUUCUGGUAUUCCCAUUAUUUCAGGUUUAUUGAUCACUUCAUCCAUCACACCAAGAAAAGAAUUAGGAGUGCUCCUAAAGACACUAUUACCCUCCUCAGUGGUAAGGGAUUGGUUUCAUCAUUUGAUAGAAUGGAAGGUUCUUUAUUUGAUCGAAUAAAAUAUUCUGGUAUUCCCAUUAUUUCAGGUUUAUUGAUCACUUCAUCCAUCACACCAAGAAAAGAAUUAGGAGUGCUCCUAAAGACACUAUUACCCUCCUCAGAUAAUGCCAUCUUCAGCUCUGAA